rnacentral:rRNA from 1 species
AUUGAACGCUGGCGGCAGGCUUAACACAUGCAAGUCGAGCGGAGAGAGGUAGCUUGCUACUGAUCUUAGCGGCGGACGGGUGAGUAAUGCUUAGGAAUCUGCCUAUUAGUGGGGGACAACAUUUCGAAGGGAAUGCUAAUACCGCAUACGUCCUACGGGAGAAAGCAGGGGAUCUUCGGACCUUGCGCUAAUAGAUGAGCCUAAGUCGGAUUAGCUAGUUGGUGGGGUAAAGGCCUACCAAGGCGACGAUCUGUAGCGGGUCUGAGAGGAUGACCCGCCACACUGGGACCGAGACACGGCCCAGACUCCUACGGGAGGCAGCAGUGGGGAAUAUUGGACAAUGGGCGGAAGCCUGAUCCAGCCAUGCCGCGUGUGUGAAGAAGGCCUUAUGGUUGUAAGGCACUUUAAGCGAGGAGGAGGCUACUUUAGUUAAUACCUAGAGAUAGUGGACGUUACUCGCAGAAUAAGCACCGGCUAACUCUGUGCCAGCCGCCGCUGUAA